UUGGAGUUUGGUCUUGGCUUAUGUUUAAUUGAUUAAUGAUAAAUGUAUAUAAAUAUUAGUAAAUUAUAAGAUCGGUAACAUUUAAGAUUAUACAAUUUUGUAAAUAAAGAUAAAGUAUCAUUAAUAAGUAUCAGCUAUUAUUCAUGCCAGCAGCUGCGGUUAUUUGAAUGAUAUAAUAUUAUUAAUAGUUAAAACUGAUUUUUAGUGAGUAAUGUUAAUGCAUUGAUUUUGGGUAAAAUCAAUUUAAUGUAGGUAUUACUUGUGUUAGGUAAAAAGUUAGUAAAAGAAAACAGGAUUAGAUACCCUGGUAUUAACUAAUAUAAAUUUGGGUAGUAAUAUGGUUAUGAAACUUAAAAGUCCUGGCGGCGUUAUAUCUUUUUAGAGGAACCUGUCGAAUAAUGUGAUGAUCCACGGUGUAUCUUACCUUUACUAGUAUAGUCAGUAGGUGUAUUGUUGUCGUAAGAUAGACUAAAAUAGUAGUAUUCUUCAAUUAUAUUAAAAUAAACGUCAAAUCUAAAUGCUGCUUAUGUAAAGGGUUUAAAAGGAUGGGUUACAUUUUUGUAAAGUUCGGUUAAAUGUUUAUAAACAUUUAUUAAGUUGGAUUUGAUAGUAUUAAUUUUUUAGUGAGUAGUUAAUAAAAAGCUCUGUAACGUGUACAUACCGCCCGUCGUCCCCGCCGAUGUAGGGGGGGUAAGUCGUAACAAGGUAGGGUUAUUGGAAGAUGGCUCUAGGUUGAA
rnacentral:ncRNA from 1 species